rnacentral:sRNA from 1 species
CGCCAGUGAAGGCAGGAGGAGGGUUAUGAGGUGUCCCACUCCUGUGUGGCUGGGGAAGGUGCUCAGGAGGGGAUGGGAUGGGCCUGGCUCGCCCUCACCCGGGCUCUAGCCCCUCUCUGUCGACCCUCCCCACUCCGGCCUGGCCUGUAGUUUGACCCUGAGCUGGUGCUGGUCUCGGCAGGAUUUGACUCAGCCAUCGGGGACCCUGAGGUGAGGGCCUUGCCUUGCCAGGGAGGGCUUCUGGGGUCCUGGGGCCCAGGUCCCCCGUCACACAUGGCUCUGGUUCCAGGGGCAAAUGCAGGCCACGCCAGAGUGCUUCGCCCACCUCACACAGCUGCUGCAGGUGCUGGCCGGCGGCCGGGUCUGCGCCGUGCUGGAGGGCGGCUACCACCUGGAGUCACUGGCGGAGUCAGUGUGCAUGACAGUACAGACGCUGCUGGGUGACCCGGCCCCACCCCUGUCAGGGCCAAUGGUGCCAUGUCAGAGGUGCGAGGGGAGGUAGGGCGGGCAGGGCUGGGGUGUGAGACCAGGUGUCACGACUGUUGUGUCUCCCCCACAGUGCCCUAGAGUCCAUCCAGAGUGCCCGUGCUGCCCAGGCCCCGCACUGGAAGAGCCUCCAGCAGCAAGGUCAGUGUGGCCGGGUGCUAGGCUGCAGGAUCCCACCUCGGGCUCCCGUGCAGUGGCUAUGACUCCGAACUGUCCCUAGAUGUGACCGCUGUGCCGAUGAGCCCCAGCAGCCACUCCCCAGAGGGGAGGCCUCCACCUCUGCUGCCUGGGGGUCCAGUGUGUAAGGCAGCUGCAUCUGCACUGAGCUCCCUCCUGGACCAGCCGUGCCUCUGCCCCGCACCCUCUGUCCGCACCGCUGUUGCCCUGACAACGCCGGAUAUCACAUUGGUUCUGCCCCCUGACGUCAUCCAACAGGAAGCGUCAGCCCUGAGGGAGGAGACAGAAGCCUGGGCCAGGUGAACAGUGGUAUAGCAGCCACUCCAGCCUCUGCUGCAGCAGCCACCCUGGAUGUGGCUGUUCGGAGAGGCCUGUCCCACGGAGCCCAGAGGCUGCUGUGCGUGGCCCUGGGACAGCUGGACCGGCCUCCAGACCUCGCCCAUGACGGGAGGAGUCUGUGGCUGAACAUCAGGGGCAAGGAGGCGGCUGCCCUAUC